rnacentral:rRNA from 1 species
GAUGAACGCUGGCGGCGUGCCUAAUACAUGCAAGUCGAGCGAACAGACGAGGAGCUUGCUCCUCUGACGUUAGCGGCGGACGGGUGAGUAACACGUGGAUAACCUACCUAUAUGACUGGGAUAACUUCGGGAAACCGGAGCUAAUACCGGAUAAUAUAUUGAACCGCAUGGUUCAAUAGUGAAAGACGGCUUUGCUGUCACUUAUAGAUGGUUCCGCGCCGCAUUAGCUAGUUGGUAAGGUAACGGCUUACCAAGGCGACGAUGCGUAGCCGACCUGAGAGGGUGAUCGGCCACACUGGAACUGAGACACGGUCCAGACUCCUACGGGAGGCAGCAGUAGGGAAUCUUCCGCAAUGGGCGAAAGCCUGACGGAGCAACGCCGCGUGAGUGAUGAAGGUCUUCGGAUCGUAAAACUCUGUUAUUAGGGAAGAACAAAUGUGUAAGUAACUAUGCACGUCUUGACGGUACCUAAUCAGAAAGCCACGGCUAACUACGUG